UAGGGAAUCUUCGGCAAUGGACGAAAGUCUGACCGAGCAACGCCGCGUGAGUGAAGAAGGUUUUCGGAUCGUAAAACUCUGUUGUUAGAGAAGAACAAGGACGUUAGUAACUGAACGUCCCCUGACGGUAUCUAACCAGAAAGCCACGGCUAACUCCGUGCCAGCAGCCGCGGUAAUACGGAGGGUGCAAGCGUUAAUCGGAAUUACUGGGCGUAAAGCGCACGCAGGCGGUUGAUUGAGUCAGAUGUGAAAUCCCCGGGCUUAACCCGGGAAUUGCAUCUGAUACUGGUCAGCUAGAGUCUUGUAGAGGGGGGUAGAAUUCCAUGUGUAGCGGUGAAAUGCGUAGAGAUGUGGAGGAAUACCGGUGGCGAAGGCGGCCCCCUGGACAAAGACUGACGCUCAGGUGCGAAAGCGUGGGGAGCAAACAGG
rnacentral:rRNA from 1 species